rnacentral:rRNA from 1 species
CCAUCUGUACAAAAACAACUUAUUUAUAAAAAGUAUUUAUGCCCCCGUACUUCUAUUAGAUAAGAAAGAAAUGAGGCAACUGUUACCCUGUUACAAGAAAAACACAAAGUCUCAUUUUUUUGUCUGAGGUUAGACUUAGACUGCUCAUUUUUUUAUAGCAACACAAAGUCUCACAAUGCGUUAAAUAGUUGUUCUCGUUUCUGAGAUUAGACUACUACAUCCUGUCGAAAUUACACUGUCUCCUAGUACCACCAGCUACCUAACACGUGGGCCAUCAUCUGAUCCUUUCCUUGUAAUAAAUGCCUUGUGUUACUAUAAGUCUCGUCGGGACGUGAUACACUCUAAAUCUUCAACCAUGACGGCCGCCUACGUAGGUACACGAUUAGAGGACCGUGGCGCAUCUGCCUCGGUUUGCUCAACCCCGGAGGUCGGCCGACCAUCACCUGUUGUUGUGGCCCAAACAAUUAAUUAGUUGUUCAGUGUCUAACAGGAGAAAAGACUAACCAGACCACACCUAAUAGUCCGGACGGCGCGUUAGUAUCUAAAUAGAAAACUAAAAACACCCACCUGUCUUUGUGGGAAAGAUUUCAAAAGAUCCCUAACAUUACUUCGUGUCAUUGUGUGAGGUCGUAAGUAAGAAACGAACUAUAAUCGUUUGUUACAUUUUAUUGGUUCGAGUGUUGUAAGAUUUCGCCAGAUAAUCGAUGAAGUCGUCUGUUGUCUGUCUUUCUUCAUUCGUCAUAAACUAAACGAGUAUGGGCACCUCCCUAGCUUAAGACGGGUUUCAAACAGCGUCGUGAACACCAGUCGCCGCUCCUACUCGUGGGUGUGGGCGAGGAACAACGACCGGAGACGUAGGAGGAGGGAACUUCGCCCAGAUACGCCCCUCAACUAGAUCUUAUAGGAUAACAAUCUAUAUUGUUUAUCCACUGUUCUUUAUUUGUUCUUGAUACAUCAUGUUAUAUACACAGUGUGUCAUAUGAAACUUUUACACAUUAAACUCUAAGACUAUAUCUACAUCCGGACAUUGUGUGGAACUUGUACGUGACUUUUAACAACAAAUGUCAGAGUAAAGAUUUGGACUACUUUUGGGGAUAAAUUUUUUCCUAAAUUAUCAACAUCACUAAGAAAACAGUCUAACUAUUAUAUAACGUUUAAUACGAACUACCAAUUAAAGAAC